rnacentral:ncRNA from 1 species
AUAGGGGUGCUCCGCCGUGCGCGGGGCUGAGAUCAUACCCGUAGAACCUGAUGCGGAUAAUGCCGCCGUAGGGAUUUUCUGA